ACACUUGACUCUUUGUUGUAUUCUUUCUUCUAACAGUACUCAGCUGACCAAGUUAAAGCACUCUGAUUCUCACCUGCCUGUCUGCCUUCCUCUACUGAUAAAGAAUGUGGUUGAUGCCCCGUCCCUGGAGACUUUCAAGGUGAGGCUGGAUCAGGCCCUGGGUGACCAGAUGUAGCUGUGGUGUUCCUGUGCAUUGCAGGGGAGUUGGACCAGAUGGCGUUCAGAGGUCCCUUCCAACUCUAAGGGUUCUAUGAUUCUAAGGCUGGAGCCAGGAGUCUGAUGCCGAAGAUUUUGGAAGGUCCAGCCCUCAGAUAGCUGUGACCUCAGCUUAGGUUCUUCUUCUGAGAUCUUCAUGUCUCUAUGAAUUUCUACACCAUUUAAAAUAUAGCAUAAGGAAUGGAUAAUCCAUAUUGUGGGUGCACGCUAUUGCCAUGGUCCUUCUGCACAAGAUAACUGCUGAAAAUUUUAAACAAACCAGAGCUCUGGCAGGACCCCGCUAGACGCUUCAUCCAAACAUAUCAUCUUACAACUCUGAUAAAAGGAUCUGCUGGAUUUUCUUUUGGCUGAGAUAAGACAUUUGUAUUCAUUGAAACCAAUGUUAAUGUGGGUAGAAAGAACUGAGAUCUAAAUUAGAUAAGUCAUUAAAAUGAGGUUAUUUUCAAGACAGAACUGUAUGAAAAAUGGAGAGUGAAGGAUGAUUUGCAUUGAGUAUGGACUUUAUUUCAUGUUGGGUGGUGCUACCAUAGUAUGUGUUUGCAAGUCACUGAGUAGCAGGCAGUAGGAAGUGUUGGGUUGUGAAGACUCUUGUGUUGUCCUCUUCACUGAGAGAGGGCUGGAGACAAUCGGUCUGAGACGUCUCCUUCUGGUCUCACUGGUACAGGCAGGAGUAAAAAGAGAAAGAGAAGAACAAUAGACAUUUGCCCCUUCACCAAAUUGGAUAGGGGCUUUUAUUUGGGUUUCUUUUUGACCCUCCCAGCCAUCUUCAGCUGACAUAUUUUCCGCUGCCAUUUAAAAAUAUUGCUUUGUAACAAUAAGACCUAUAAAAAGAAUAAAUGAGACAAUAAAAUAUAUAUUAAACAGACAAAUCUGUUGGAUUAAAACAGUGAGGCAGUGCCCACGCCCUGUCUUCACCUCACGCUCCAAAGCCACUGCUGAGUGCUUUGGCAAGCUGCUCAAGUGGAAGUCACACAGAACACAGGCUGCUUGGAAGGGUGUCCACUGCAAAGAGGUGCAUCUCAAAAAGGAUCACCAGCUUGGCCCUCAGAUACAGCUUUCUCCUUGUGGGAGGCAAGCUGCCUUUCAUUGUGCCUCUGUUGAGAUCUAGUUGUGUCCCUUGCUCUGGGCCUGGUCCAAGGCCCACGGGGAGACUUUCGCUGGCUUCAGUCAGCUUUUGGAGCAGCCUCUUUGCAGGGAGUGGUUGGUAAGAAGACUGCGUGGAGAGCUAUGAAGUGCUCAUGCACGUUCUCUUUGAGCUUAAUGGUGUGCUGCUCUCUGAGGUGUUGCAUGCAUGAGUACAGGGCAGAAAAAAAAAAGAAGAAAAAAAAAGAGAAAAAGUGCUAAGCCAGGAGAAAGAGGGCAGGGGAACCCGAUCCUGCAUGAACUGGAGUGCAGCUGCAUAGCCUUGAGCACUAAUGUGCAUAGUAGCAAAAGUGAGGCCCAAAAGGGGAACGCUUAACUAAGUGCCUCAGCAGCGCUGUGAGAUGCUUAAAUGCAUGUCUCUCCAGACAUGCCUGCUGUGAACCUGGGUGGGAGCAUUAAGGGAUCCUGAGAUUUAGUGCUUUAUGGUGAAAAGGACCAAAGCAGUGUUUAAUGUGCACCUGCACACAAGUCCCUGCUGGGACUGGCACGAAGACAUUUCUCAGCACGUGUAAUGCUGCGUGGCCAUGGCUUUUCGUGGGCCAGUGGAUAUUUUCUCACUAAGCAAACUCAGAGUUUCUGGAGGGGCUGAUAAUGUGAAUUACAUUAAAUAAAAAAGCAUAUAAAUAGAGUAGGACAAAUUACAGCCAAAUAAGAUGCUAGGUAAAUGCUUCUGCUGUACUAUCAGCAGCGAUGGAAAGAAGCGAGAGCCAAAUGUGACCAGACAGUAAAUAUUAUGGAACGAGUAUUAGUGAUCUCAAACAUUUUGCAUUUUUUUCAAGGUAUGAAGGGCAGCUACACACAGGUGUAGAAGGAGAACAAUGAAACACAUCAGCAGGUGGGACUCCUACUGACAUCGGAUCAGUGGUGUAUCUCAGUGUGCCAGGGUUGAGGAUGGAGUACAUCCCCAGUAGCUGCUGCCUCCUAGUAAGGAGCAUCUCUCUGAAAAUAUUAACCAGAGCUUCAAUAAUGAACCCAGUAGCAAAUGAUAAACAUUUCAAAGAGCAUGGCACAACUGAGGAGUGAAAUAAGUUUUCUUAUGGACUGAACCUAAACUGGAAUUCUCCCAUUCUGGGCUCAAGAAAUCCAGCUGGGAUGCUUAAAGACAGCUGCCAUGGACAGCAGGAAGAGUGAACUUCCUUUCCCCAGGUCCAGGUCUCACAUGGUCCUUAGCCCAAGGGUAUAAUGAAUGCUAUGGAAACUGCACUGACAAACGUGAUGAUGUGGAAGGUUUCCCUGACUGAGAAACUUUUGACUGUGAAUGAGCUCCGUGGGGAACUCUGACUCAGGCUCCACAGAAAAUGAGAGGAAAGGCAAGCAAAUAUGGAAAAGAAGAGAUAAAGAAAUAACUGAAGAUAGCAUCUGAAAGAGGGAGAAAAAAUUACAAGUAUAAUGAUAAAUAGACAAAUUAUGAAUGAAAACCCAGAAAGGAAAGAACCAAGAAGUAAUGGUUGCCUUCAAGUGCUGUCUUUUUAUUUCAUUUUUGGUCAUUUUCAGUCAAAUUAUUUAAGGCUGAACUGGCCAUCUAGGAAAAAUGUGCAGUUUUUUGGGACAGUUUUUGAUAUUAACCUAUGCUUGGAAUUUAAAUUAAGAUAUUGACAUAUUUUGUUGGCUCUGUUAUUUGGAUGCUUGUAUUCAACAUGUUCCUUCAGGCGUGAUUUUGUCAGCAGUCAUUAGGGUGAUGUUUUCACGGUGUGUGUGUGUGUGUGUGUGCGAGCUGGGGAGGAGGAAGAGGAGAAAGCGCAGCUUUUCCCAAAUGGGAGUCACGACCAACAGGCUUAGUAGGUCAGAGUUGAGGAUUUAAAAAAAAAAAAGAGUUUUAAUUUCCUUUCUUCCACGGGAUGAGGAUUGAGUGAAGUGUGACCAGCACAGGAUCUACUAGCCGGCCUGGAUUUUCCAGUCACUGUAUUUUUAUGAUCCAUGCUGAAAUGAAAAAUAUGAAUAGCUCAUUACAGCUAACGAGAUGAGGAUAUUCUUCUCAAUGCCAAAAGUCUUUAUAGGGCAAACAGGUCGCUCACUCCUUGACAUAUUCCUGCAGGCUCCUGCUGAGCACCUGGUAGCUCAGCUCUACUGUGUCUUUGGAAUGCAGAUGCCUCUUUUGCUGCACAGGACAGACAGCUGCACAAGGGCUGCUGCUUUCCAACCAGAUAAGGUCCCCACAGCUUGGGCACAGGAAGAACCUCUUGGAGUUUUGGUAACAAGGGCAUCAGGGACUUCCCAAAACAUAGUAGAUACACAUGCAUACAUAUACCCAUCUGACACCUCGAGGGCAAUUGCCAUACGUGCUCAGCCAUUACAUUCCCUAUGCAACUCGUUCCAGAAAUUUCUGAAGGUUUUAGCAGAUGCAGGUUUCAUAGCAUUUGAAGUGAAGACUGAAUCAAAGAUCUGGGUGCUGGACAUUAAAAAUGUUGUUGUUUGGAUUGCCUGGUUAAGGGUUUCAUUGCUAAUUUCUGGCAUGCUGCUAAGCUCGCGGGAGAAUGCUAGGACAAACUUUUAGCCUGGGAGAAGGGAUGUGGUGAUUGUUUGUCUGUUCAGGAGUAUGUCUGUGGCUUCCAAGAAAGCCAGCAGGGAUGCAACGUGUAUAUCUAUGGGGAAGAAUCCCAUCCCGGUAGUCCAUGUUGAAUGCUGAUGCAAGACACAAGCAUCUGACUUUCCUAAUACAUUUGAAAGGGCUAGGCAGUGCGAUGGUCGUGAUGUGCAAGCCAGCAAAGCCAUUGCCUCUUGUGGGUCAUGUCUAACAGCCUUGGUGACCAGAUGUUGCAUCCCUGCAAAUCUGAUGAGCCCUUUUCUGGUCUGGAUACUAUGGAAGUAUAUUGAAAUAUAUAUUGAAUAUAUGAAUUAAAAAUAAACAAAUAAUGGUAGAUGGGAGAUUUAUAACCACUUUCUACUGAAAUUAUCACAUUGCUAUAAAUUUGCCUUAUUUAAACUAGCUCAAUAAUAAUGCGGUACAGUGGAUGCUUCCAAACUGUAAGCAGUGACAUAGCUGAAGUAACGAUGUGGUGUUUUUUUUUUUCCCAUGAAUUUAAGAAUGCUGUGCUGUCUUUUUACUAGAGUUCAAAUUAGACAACCUAUGAAACUGCUCAGUGCUCCUACAUUGUGUGCUAGAAAGCAGUAUGCAUUUAAAAAAAAGAGUUUUUUUCUCUCAGUCAAUCUGUUCAGUCAGAGGCAGAUAAACCCUUCAGAUUAUUUAACCCUUUCAAGAGCUUUGUAGAUUGUCACGAUCACUGUUACUUAACAAACUGCCUAAAUUCACACCUUCUUGUGGAAAUAGAUACCUACUUUGGACAGACCUGGUGGCUGCUGGGUCGUUCACUGUAGAAGGAAGCUGCAAAAUUUCUGCAUAAACUUUCUUUUCUUUUCCUUCAACUUGUAUUUAUUUAACUGACACAAACCUCAGUGACACCUUGAAUAAGCUUUAAGCAAUUGUACCUUGCUUUGCAUUGCAGUGGCCUGGAAACAUCACAUGGCUGUGACUCAGCAGAGGACCUUUUUCUGGAGAGGCGCUCCAUCUGAGAUAGGUGUCCCACAGGAGUGAGGCUUCCUUUGUGCUUACUACAAAACAAACAAGCAGUGAGAGGCAGAUCCAGGCACAAACCUAUCACAGUGCAUUUUGCAGCCUUCCAUACACAGAUGUGCACUUUGCCCAUGUUUGCGUGCAGCAAUUCUGCUGGUCUGGGGAAGGAUGGCUUUUAUUUUGAGUACUCACACUGUAUGACAGGCCACAGGUGCUGUCAGAAGAGAGUACAUGGACACUGUUGCUCAGACAUCUACAAAGAGAAGGCAGGAAAAGGUAUGAAGAGAGCUGGUAUGAAGGCUGCCUAUUUUGGGGGUGAGAAAUGAAGGAUUAAAGAAAAAAUUUCAGCAUUCUUUGGAAGGAAUGCAGAAAUUU